AUAACCCACGCAUCACUUGAAGCUCGAUCCUCUCAUGCUCUCACUCUCGCGACCUCGAACGGCACGAGUGUGUCUUCUUUUCUUCUUCCUCUUCUCCUCUCUCUCUCUUUCUCUCUCUCUCUCUUCCUUAUUUCCCUCUCGCCGACUACACAAGUAUGUGUUUUCUGAUAGUUUUCGGACGAUGCUUUGAAGCCAUUUUAGUUUUUACAUCGUUCAAUUUUGUUGUUCUUCUCUGUUCAGUCCUGAUUUUCGAAUCAUCGCUGGAGCUGCGAAUGAAAAGAAUCGACAACAUCAGAGGUUGUUAGUGGGUUUCUCUCAAAUGUUGUCUCUAUACUGAUGAGAUGGUUGUGGUCACUCAAAGCUACUACCAAAACAGGUCAUUGGAAACAAAUGGGAUACAUAUCUUGAUCCUCUCCAGUCGGAUUACAUUGAGGGGUGAGUAUAAUUUUUUAGUGUCUUCAUCUUUUUCAGUGUUCUGAAUGUAAAAUAUAGAUAUAUAUAUUUUUUCUUUGUGUGCUUUAAGGGCCUCCAGUUGCAGGAGCUUUAAUAUUCUUUUAAUUCUUUGUUUUCAAUGAAUUGAACGUAAAGUAUGCAAUUCUACCUAGCUUUGCUAAUCCUGAUGUGCACCCUCAUUGUGAUUUCUUGUAUUAAAAUAUCUAAAUGUCUUAUGGGUGAAAACUAGGUAAAAAGCAUUGUUCAGAUAUAAAACAGAUAAUCACUAUAGCUUGCUCUGUAUUGCUCCUAAGUUGGCUGAGUUAGCUUUUCAUUUAGAAACAACUUAACAAAAUUCUUUAUACAUAAAUAUGUUUUGACCCAUAUGUAAAAAGCUCAUACCAUCCUAAACUAUAGUAUAAAGUAAAAUCAAAGUUGUAAUAUGACAUAUAAUAAAAAAUGUAGCAUGCUGUGUGCAAUACUAUAAGCUAAAAGUUCCCAGUAGUCUAAAUAGUGCAUCCAGCCAAUUUAACCUGCUUUGUUUUGUACCUAAGAAAUAGAAUCUAGGACAAAAAACACAACCAGAAAUGAUUAAUAUUAUAUAUACAAGAUUAAAAUCUGAUGAUAGUUGCAGGUGUUGCUGCUGUUGCUUGUGUUGAGUCUUCUCCAUGGAUUUGACCUUGCAGCUUGCUGCCUUGCUUCACAAUGAUUGUUGAAAGU